CCUACGGGUGGCUGCAGUGGGGAAUAUUGGACAAUGGGCGAAAGCCUGAUCCAGCCAUGCCGCGUGUGUGAAGAAGGCCUUCGGGUUGUAAAGCACUUUCGGUGGGGAAGAAAGCCUUGGGGCUAAUACCCUCGAGGAAGGACAUCACCCACAGAAGAAGCACCGGCUAACUCCGUGCCAGCAGCCGCGGUAAUACGGAGGGUGCGAGCGUUAAUCGGAAUUACUGGGCGUAAAGCGCGCGUAGGCGGUCUGAUAAGCCGGUUGUGAAAGCCCCGGGCUCAACCUGGGAACGGCAUCCGGAACUGUCAGGCUAGAGUGCAGGAGAGGAAGGUAGAAUUCCCGGAGUAGCGGUGAAAUGCGUAGAGAUCGGGAGGAAUACCAGUGGCGAAGGCGGCCUUCUGGACUGACACUGACGCUGAGGUGCGAAAGCGUGGGUAGCAAACAGGAUUAGAUACCCUGGUAGUC
rnacentral:rRNA from 1 species